rnacentral:lncRNA from 1 species
AUGUCCUCCUUUUCUGUUUCAGAUCCUGCUUCUCAGUCAAAUAAUGGUGGAGUAUGCAACUUUUGUGACCCUUCCACUGGUCAGUGCUCCUCCACAUUACAGUGUCAGGGAGUGGAGAACCAAUGCUUCCAAUCAACCAUCAAAAGCAGCACCAGCACGUAUCCAGCUCAGGGCUGCGCAUCUGCAAACCUGUGUGCAGCUGCUUCGAGCCUGGGAUCUCUACCUUUCAUGCAGAGCGUUGGUACCGUAUCAGGUGUUGCCUGUUCUGCAGCACCAACUACAACUGCUGCCCCGACUACAACCACCGCCCCAACUACAACUACAACCACCACCCCAACUACAACUACAACCACCGCCCCAACAACAACUACAACCUCCGCCGCAACAACAACCACCACACCAACUACCACCCCAACUACAACCACAACCACCGCCGCAACAACAACCACCGUCCCAGCUACAACUACAACCACCGCCGCAACAACAACCACCGCCGCAACCACAACCACCGCUGCAACCACCACCGCAACUACAACCACCGCCCCAACUACAACCACUGUACCAACUACAACCACCGUCCCAACUACAACUACAACCACCGUACCAACUACAACCACUGCCGCAACUACAACCACUGCCGCAACUACAACCACCGCCCCAACUACAACCACCGCCACAUCUGCAACCACCACCCCAACAACAACUACAACUACCGCCACAACUACAACUACCGUCCCAACUACAACUACAACCACCACAGCAAGUACAACCACAACCACCGCUGCAACUACAACUACCACCCCAACAACAUCUACAACCACCUCCACAACUACAACCCCCACUACAACUACAACCCCCACUACAACUACAACCCCCACAACUACAACCCCCACUACAACCCCCACUACAACCACCGUCCCAACUACAACCAGUACAACUACACCCACAACCACUCCCCCAACUACAACCACCGCCACAACUACCACCACCGCCACAACUAUGACUACAUCCACCGUCCCAACUAUGACUACAACCACUACCCCAACUACGACUACAACCACUACCCCAACUCCAACCUCAUCCGCCAUUACAGCUAUAACUGCUACAUCAACUGCAACCACUGCCUCUACAACCAAAAGUGACGCUUGUUCUAUCAGACUGGGAAUGAUCCAUCUGCUGCUUGGACUCCUUCUCUUUACUUGUCAUUAAAGUCCCAAAUAAAACAAAAAUAAAC